rnacentral:rRNA from 1 species
UACGUAGGUGGCAAGCGUUGUCCGGAAUUAUUGGGCGUAAAGCGCGCGCAGGCGGUUCUUUAAGUCUGAUGUGAAAGCCCACGGCUCAACCGUGGAGGGUCAUUGGAAACUGGGGAACUUGAGUACAGAAGAGGAAAGCGGAAUUCCACGUGUAGCGGUGAAAUGCGUAGAGAUGUGGAGGAGCACCAGUGGCGAAGGCGGCUUUCUGGUCUGUAACUGACGCUGAGGCGCGAAAGCGUGGGGAGCAAACAGG